GAUGAACGCUGGCGGCGUGCCUAAUACAUGCAAGUCGAGCGAACAGACGAGGAGCUUGCUCCUCUGACGUUAGCGGCGGACGGGUGAGUAACACGUGGAUAACCUACCUAUAAGACUGGGAUAACUUCGGGAAACCGGAGCUAAUACCGGAUAAUAUAUUGAACCGCAUGGUUCAAUAGUGAAAGACGGUUUUGCUGUCACUUAUAGAUGGAUCCGCGCCGCAUUAGCUAGUUGGUAAGGUAACGGCUUACCAAGGCAACGAUGCGUAGCCGACCUGAGAGGGGGCUCGGCCACACUGAAACGGAGACCCGGCCCAGCCCCCCAGGGGAGGAAGAGUGAGGGAAUCUUCCGAAAUGGGGGAAAGCCUGACGGACAAACGCCGGGUGGUUGAUGAAGGUUUUCGGAGCGUAAACCUUUUUUAUUGGGGAAAAAAAAAUGUUUAAGUAAAUAUGACCGUUUUAAGGGUACCAAAUCAAAAAGCCAGGGCUAAAUACGG
rnacentral:rRNA from 1 species